rnacentral:rRNA from 1 species
UACAGAGGGGGCAAGUGUUGUUCGGAAUUACUGGGCGUAAAGGGCGCGUAGGCGGCCCGCUAAGUCGAACGUGAAAUCCCCGGGCUCAACCCGGGAACUGCGUCCGAUACUGGCAGGCUUGAAUCCGGGAGAGGGAUGCGGAAUUCCAGGUGUAGCGGUGAAAUGCGUAGAUAUCUGGAGGAACACCGGUGGCGAAGGCGGCAUCCUGGACCGGCAUUGACGCUGAGGCGCGAAAGCCAGGGGAGCAAACGGG